ensembl:misc_RNA Metazoa_SRP Metazoan signal recognition particle RNA
GCCGGGUGUGGUGGUGGGCGCCUGUAAUCCCAGCUACUCAGGAGGCUGAGGCAGGAGAAUCGCUUGAACCCGGGAGGCAGAGGUUGCAGUGAGCCGAGAUCGCGCCACUGCACUCCAGCCUGGGUGACAAGGCGAGACUCUGUCUCAA